rnacentral:rRNA from 1 species
AUGGUAACAUAUCAUGAACUUUAAAAUGGAGUGUGAAAAUCUACGGAAGAGUUCUCUUUUCUUCUUAACAAAAGUAAACUCCACUGAAAUGAAUCAAUCAGAGAAGUGGAAUUUAUUGGCUUUGUAAGAAAUUCAACAUAUGAUUGAAUUGUGGUAUUUUUGCAGUCUUCAUAAAAAUUAAAGGGAAUCUUAGCAUAAAGCUAAUUAAAGAAUUCUUUUGCUCGUACUAAUAACCGCAACAGGUCUCCAAGAAGCAAAAUCUUUAGUUAAAUAGAAUAACGCAGGUAAGGGAAGUCGGCAACAUAGCUCUGUAAGUUAGCAAGAAAGAGUAGCUCUGGUGAUUUCCUUGUAAAAGGAUUAAAAUCGAAUCAGAACUUUAAAGGUUAGGGGAAUCCGACUGUUUAAUAAAAACAUAGCAUUCUGAUAAAUCUAAAAGGUUCAUUACAGAAUGUGAUUUCUGCCCAGUGCUCUGAAUGUCAAGGUAAUGAAAUUUACUUAAGCGCGGGUUAACGGCGGGAGUAACUAUGACUCUCUUAAGGUAGCCAAAUGCCUCGUCAUCUAAUUAGUGACGCGCAUGAAUGGAUCACCGUGAUUCCCACUGUCCCUAUCUGCAAUCUAGUGAAACCACAGUCAAGGGAACGGGCUUGAUUGGAACGGCGGGGAAAGAAGACCCUGUUGAGCUUGACUCUAAUUUAUCAUGUGAAAUCGAUUUUUUGGUAUAGGCUAGGUGGGAGACUUUGUCAAACGUGUAAUACCACCACUAGAAAUACUAUUUCACUCAUUUCGUUAAAUGUUAAAAUGGAUUUUCCAUUAAUUUAAAAACAUUAAAACUUCGGUUGAAACAGGCGAUUGAAAAAGAUAGACGGGGAGUUUGGCUGGGGCGGCACAUCUGUUACAAGAUAACGCAGGUGUCCAAAGAUGAACUCAAUGAGGACAGAAACCUCAUGUAGAAUAUAAGGGUAUAAGUUCAUUUGAUUAUUGAUUCCAGUACAAUCAAUAACUCUGAAAUGAUGGCCUAACGAUCCCUAAGAUUUUUAACUAGAAAAAAUUUAAAACAUAUUAGAUUUAUCUGAUGUGUGAGACCGUAAGGUGAUUUCUAGUUAAUCCUUUAAUAAUAAGGCUUGGGGUGUCAGAAAAGUUACCACAGGGAUAACUGGCUUGUGGCAGCCAAGCGCUCAUAGCGACGUUGCUUUUUGAUCCUUCGAUGUCGGCUCUUCCUAUCCAUUUCAAGCAGAAUUGAAAAAAGGUAUGAUUGUUCACCAUUUAAUAGGGAACGUGAGCUGGGUUUAGACCGUCGUGAGACAGGUUAGUUUUACCCUACCGUUUCGGUAGAUCUUCAAAGUAUUUAGAUAGUAGCACAACUCAGUACGAGAGGAACCGUUGUGUCACGCCACUGGAUUAUUCAAUUAUUUGAUCAAAUAGUGUUGAGAAUCUAACACGUGUUGAAAUAAUGGCUGAAAGCCUCUCAAGCCAGAAUUUCGUCUAGAUGAAUACUUUGUCUUUUUCUUGUUACUUUAGUACAAUUGAAAAUUAUAUACGUUGUAUUUAUUAUCUCGUGUAUUACUCUAUCAAAAGGGUAGUGAAUACUGAGUUAACAAAAUUCAAAGCAUAACUGUUGCUUAUAGACGAUGGCAUCAGAAAUCGGUGUUGUAAGCUUUAGAGUUUCUUAAUCAAUACUCUCGGGUAUUG